UUUGCUUUGGAUUCAGCCUCUCAGAACCAAGCUGCCACGGCAUAAGUGAGCAACCACCACAAUCAUUGGGUUGAGCCACCUAGUGAACACCUAGCCUGGUUGCUUCUUCAGACGGCUGCCUCCUGGGCUUCGGUCUAGAAACACACGGGAGAUUCAAGCAAGAACCGUUCACGUGAACACAGUCAACCCAUGGAACGAUGAAGGAGAAAUUCAAGGUCUGUUAAUGCCCAGAGAGGAGGACGUAACAGCACCAUUGUCAUCCUUAUGGAAGAAAGCCGUCCUCCAGCGCUGGCCAUGGCUACAGUGGAGCAAGGUCAUUCUCAUUCCAUCCCCCAGCUGUCCCCUCUCUCCAGAGGGCAUCCAAUCCAAGCAGGCCUAGGGGGCAGCUGCUACUCCCUGUGGUCACCAUUCUCAAGUCAACCUCCUCUCUGAUGGAGGCUUCCCCACUGGAGGGAGCCACCCUCCGUGCCACCCAGUCCAGGCAAGGGCAGUGAGCGCUGGGGUGGCGUAAACGCCCUGCAGAGCCCUCUCCCCACGUGUGAUCUUUGGCUGAGCAAUUCUUGAAAAUUACAGGGCACAGUAUCCACCUUCGACUCACACAGGCUGUACUACCCCCUCAUCCCCCAAAGCAGAGCCCGAUUUGUAAUACUCAAGAUAGGACACAUUUUUGCCCUUCAAAAACAGUUGUCACUGCGGUUAUCUUCGCAAGAGCUAUCAAGUUCCAGACACACUGAUUUUUUUUUUUUUUCCUGGCAGAAAAAUAUUUGACCCAGCUCUGGACAAAAGCGAGGAGGAUUUAUAGCCUUCUCUCCCCAUUCGCAACAUGCAGUGGCAUUGUUAGGAUGAUAAACAGCACUGUCCAAUUUUCUGGACUCAAACACUUCAACUCCUUUUUUAACUGUCUGUGAAAACAGUGUCAUGUCUACAUUUCGCCAUCCCCAGGCACCCAAGUGCUGGGAAAGAUAAUUACCUUGUCAUCUUUGUCAUCUUCUUCUUCCUCGUCCUCUAGCAUGUCCUCCACUACCUGCAGACAGAAACACAAGUCGGUUUUUUUUGUGUGUGUAUGCUUUUAAAGGAGAGAAUUUUGUCCUGUCAGUUUGAGCCUUUUGGAAGUGAAAACUUUAUUAACAUGUGAAAUACACCCACUGCGAGGGAAGGUUUGAUCUAGAGAUAGCGAUUAGGUGAAUGCCUUUAACUGAUUAAACCCACAGAACUGAAUCGCAGCCAGGGGACCCGAUGUAUGUGAAAUGUUUUGUGACAACUUAAAGGAAUUUGAAAUGUGCAUAAGGUAAACUCACAUUAAUUUGGGGGAUGCUUUAAAUCAGGAAAUUUCCUUUCUGCCUAUUCUGCUGUCUGUCUGAAUCAGGCACUCAAAAUGUACAACUAGAUAACCAAGCACGAAACAGUUCUGCUAUUUCAAAUUUACUUUUCACCAAACUCUAAGAUAAAAGGCCAUGUCUGUUAAUUGAUUCAUGCUGGUGGUCUUGGGAAUAAAACUAACAAUAUCUUUUAUGGCUCAAAUUUUAAAUCUAAUGUAUAAAUCUACCGACUACCUCUCUGUUAUUUCUGAUUUCAUGGAUUACCCGGCACUCUCAUUUUAAUUCUCUGAGAUUUUACACAAGGAUUAUGAGAAUGGUAUCAUCAGGAGAAGUGGAAAUGUCUUCUACCAUCAAAUGCAUAUAAUGUGUAAAAGACAGAUGUAGGUGAGCCUGCUGCAUGUGUAUUUUCAAUGGCUCCUGGUUCACAUACUUCAGCAGAACGGCAUAGUCAUUUUGGACUUGCUCAAUCAAUACAUAACUGCAGGCACUGAGAGCAGGAUUUCACUGCCGUUCAAGGUUAUUUUUGAAUGGUUUUAGACAUUUAGACAAACAAGCAUACAUUCCGUGGAAAUCAAACAUUUUUAAAACUUUGGGAAAUGAGUGUUAGUCAAGGAAGUUCUAACUUACUGCAUUUAUGACAUUUGUUGUGCUACCUACAUUUUUACUGGAUUUUACUAGUCUAGUCUGCAUAUCUACUUCCAAACAGUUUCAAUAGAAUCAUGGUUAUCAACUAUUUUGAAAUUUUUUUUCAAGGUCCAUUAACUUUUUUUUUUUUAUUAAUAGAAAUAGUCUGAGUCAAGACUUCAGCAAUCAAGACUGUAUCAUGCAGAGAUAAAUAAGUCAAUAUGUCAAGCCUUUCAGUUAUUCCCAACUUUCAAAUAUUCUAAAAGUAUGAGUGGAUUUAAAGACAUACCCCCAAUACAAAGGUCCUAGAAUCAUGAACCAAUACAUAACCAAAUGUACCUGGUGAGCUACAAGAGUGUUCCUCAUUCAGUGUCAUACUUUCAAUCUCCUGUCGCACAGUAGAUCCUAGAUUCCUGUUACCCUUCAUUUGGACACGUAGCAUUUCAAAACAACCACAGUGAUACAAUACUCUGUUUUCUGUAGUGAAUGAGAACUUAAUGCUUAUUUCAGAGGCAUAUAGGAGUAUUUCUAAAACCUCAUUGCAAGAAAAAUUGAUAAAUGCUAGUACAAAAAUUUUUCCAAUUCAUGAGUUUUUGUAAUAUGCAUUUUCUAUGAACUUGUUGAAGAUUCCCUGUACAAAGCAAUUAAGCCUCAACAAGUCUUGAUGCUCUCCCUAACUAUAUCCAGUCACUCCACAAGCAUUUAUUGUAAAGCUCCUUGUCUAAGGCACAUAGUACUAGCUAGUGUGGGAAUACUAUGAUCAACAACACACAGGCACCUCAUCUGUACUCCUAUCAGCCCUCAAGAGGAUUAUAAUUCAAUACAGCUUGAAUGAGGACCUCAGAUAACCUCUCAUGAUGAUUUUUUCAUGUCCUUGGAGUAUUCACAUCAUAAAUACAGGGGGACUUCUAAAAUUUCAUGCACAUCAAGAAAAAACUGCAUGGAUUGGAAAAAAAAAAUUUGCAAGGUUUAGAAGGGAAAGCAGCCACAGUGAUUCAUCACACUGUGUCUCAUCAAAAAAAUUUCUCCAGGAGAUAGUAUUGUGACUUAGCGGUUAAGUCAUCACUUGGUUACAGGAAUAUUUCAGAUUGGAGUGCCAUCCGGGUCUCUGGUGCUGUGCCUGAGACAGGAACAGAAGACGGCUGAAGUGCUUGCACCCUGCCUCCCAUGUGGGACCCAGCUGGAGUUCAUGACUCCAGGCUUCCGCCUGGCCCUGGCUGUUGUGGUCAUUUGGGGAGUGAACCAGCAGAUGGAAGCCCCCUUGCUCUCCCCCACCUCCCCCUUCCAAAUAAACAAAUCUUUUAAAAAAGGAAAACAUUUUCCAACUUCGGCAAUAUUUUUAAAAAAUGAUUAUUUUGAACCUCAUGUAAAAUUAUAUUUUUGAUCUGAAUAAAUUUUUUUGCUAAAAUUACCCAUGUAGAAUCAUAUCAGAUAUGUUGAGGAAAAUGAACAUCAAUUAAAAAAAAAAAGAUUUGUUUGAAAGGCAGCAUGAGAGAGAGAGAGAGAGAGUGA